CACAGAAAGAGGCAGAAAAAUGGAGAUUAACCAGGACAUGAAGAAAGGUUGAGAGAAUGAAAUUACAAAGUAAAGACCGGGAUGGAAAUUGAAGGGGUGCUUGCAGCAGCAUGGACAAGAAGAUAUUCUCUGCUAAUCAGAAGGCCUAACAAAUGCCGUCAUAAUUUUCAAAGAACGAGCAGACUGGAAGGAGGGGCAGCCUGGAAGCCAAGAGCAACACAUUCCCAGACUCCUGCCUUGUUAGAGAUGCAAGGGCUGGCCUAAAAGAAGACUGGAGCGCUCAGUUCUAUUUGAGUGGGCCAGGAUUAAAACAAUUUAUUUCUUAGAAGAGGGAUCCUCGAAGAUGCCAGAGAAUCAAACAAACAAAACACAGGACACAGUGUGCUAUGAAGUAUAGGGUGGUUUCUUUCAAAAAAGAACACUUCCAAAGAAUAUGCUAUAACAACUUCCAGUUGUGGACACUUCACCUCCACCAAUAAAAACAGGACAUAGUCUAUAGACUGUCGAUGUGAAAAGAA